rnacentral:rRNA from 1 species
GACGAACGCUGGCGGCGUGCUUAACACAUGCAAGUCGAACGGAAAGGCCCUGCUUUUGUGGGGUGCUCGAGUGGCGAACGGGUGAGUAACAUGUGAGUAACCUGCCCUCGACUUUGGGAUAACUUCAGGAAACUGAGGCUAGUACCGGAUAGGAGCUGCUGCUGCAUGGUGGGGGUUGGAAAGUUUCGGCGGUUGGGGAUGGACUCGCGGCUUAUCCGCUUGUUGGUGGGGUAGUGGCUUACCAAAGCUUUGACGGGUAGCCGGCCCGAGCGGCUUACCGGCGACUAUGGGUCCAAGAUACGGAGCAGACAAGUACGGGCGGCAGCAGUCGCGAAUAUCACACAACGAGCGGAAGCCUGAUGCAGCAACGCCGCGUGCGGGAUGACGGCCUGCGAGUAGAGAACCGCUUUAGCCGGUGAUGAAGCGUGACUGACGGUAAUUGAUAAAUCAGCACCGGCUAACUAUGUG